UAGUCCCACUCUACCACCCCCUUCUCCCAUCCCCAUUUCCCUUUCUUCUUAGAGAAGUGGAACACCCCCCACCCAUGUGUAUCAAUUUGCACAUCAAGUCUCACCAGGACUUAGGGCAUCCUCUCACACUGAGGCCAGACAAGGCAGCCAGCUAGGGGAAGGGAUCUACAGGCGGGGAACAGAGUCUGAGACAGCCCUCACUCCAAUUGUUAGGGGACAGAGAAAGUCACUUUCAGAUUGAAGAAACUACUAAGGAUAAUAAUAAACUGAUGAAUCAAAAAAAAAAGUUGCUGAAAUAGACAUGCACCAAUUUUGCAUGGCACACACACAGAGACAACACCACUGUAAAGCAAGGCCCCUCUGCUUUGGUGGAUCAAUUAGCUUGAGUGAUAUGAAGCAACAUGGCAGAGGAUUAAGAAAAUGAUAUGGCAAUAUGAAGUGGUGACAUUCUGUGCCUUAAGCCUUCAGGUAGAAUGCUUGAUGAUCUCAUAUACAAUAUCUUGGUCAUGGCAUGGCAUAUCAUUGUCCUCUUAGGGAUUUUGGUAUUUAGAAGGAAGCUUAAUGUUGUAAUUAAGCUUACGGUUUUUAACUGGCCACCUCAGAAGAGGUAACUUGCUAAGUCACCAAUAAUGUUCUAGUGUUGGUUUUGAGAAUGUUCUGUAAGCAUUUCAGGUUGUGACUUAGUCAGAAAAUAAUGCUAAG
rnacentral:lncRNA from 1 species